rnacentral:snRNA from 1 species
AUCGCUUCUCGGCCUUUUGGCUAAGAUCAAGUGUAGUAUCUGUUCUUUUAAGAACGGUCUACGCUUGCCUAAAAGAGCAUGGCCGGGAGAGCGCCA